GUGCGGCCCGGGCAGCGCGUCCCGUUGCCGGGUGAGGCGGUGCCGCCAUGGCCGCGCCGGGAGCGGGGCUGGGAGCGGGGAAGGUAUAAGAAGACCUUCACAAACUUAAAAUGGAAAAUAUCAACCUGAAAGGAACAACAGAAGCUGUGGAUAUCAGUGACCUCAGAACAGCACCUGAAAGAACUGAACUUGGGCUGAGAAAAUGUGCUGAAAAUUAUUUAAAUGCUGUAAGUGGACAAGUGUUACCUGUUUGUUCUGCUGGUAAUAAAGAAGUAAAUUCAAAAGAGCCCCCUAAAUGGGCUCUUCCUUCUGGGGCUUCUCAGAAGCAGCUGGUUUUGCCUCGAGUCCCUGUUGAGCCUGUGACUGUCCAGACAUGCAGCAAAGCAGCACCACGUGUGUCUCAAGGUUGCCAGCAGCAGGUGGAAAUGGAUAUUAAAAUCAUGCUUGACCCAGAGAACAUGGAAAAUAAAGCUGGUUUAAAACAUCAGAAUGAUGAGACCAGGCUGCCACUUAUAACUAAGAAAAAAUCUGCUCCUAUGUGCAGUCAGAAGACAGGGAAGGGCCACACAGUUGCCACCCUUUGGGGUUUCCCUGCCUUUCCACCCCUGGAUUCUCCCUUACCCCUGCUGGAAGAGGACACCCCAAAAGGUGCUCUGAGCCUAACUGGCCAAAGGCUUAUCCUUCCAGCAGCAAAGGUAACUCUGCAGACCCCUCCUGUUGUAUCCAAGGCAGCACCUUCCCAGGAAUUUCCCAGGCAGCACAAGAAAUCAGCUGUAGGAGAGGUUAGCAGUAGGCUGGACCCUGAGAAUACAGAUACCACCACCUUCCCAAACUCCAAGGAAGGAAUUUAUGGCACAUAUUCCUCUAGCAAAGGUAACAUUGCACCACUUCCAUCCAGCAGCUCUGUGGUUUCAGCAAGGAAAUCAAAGCCAGUGUGGACAUAUCCAGCUCAGCAGUUGGAAUCUGAGGGGCAGAUUCCCUCUCAGACACAGCCCCCACAAGCGCCUCCAUGUCAGUCCUCGCAGGAUCCACGCUCGGACUGGGACAUUGUUGUUUGCCAUGGCACGGUAGACCCGAGAGCUCCAGGUUUUCUGGCGCUCAAACAACAUCAUCAUUUGUCCUGGGGGAGCAUUGUGGCUUUUUUGGAACGUGCAGAAAAGCUUCUCAAGGACUCCUCUGUCCCCUUGGCCACGAUCAGCGGCAAAAAAUUGGCGCAAGUCGCCUCAGACUUUGAGCUCGAUGAGAAUCCCCCCAAAAGUGCCAUUUUGUCAGUGAUAAAGAAUCAGUCAACUGUGGCAAAGAUCUUAAAUCGACCUGGCCAAAGCUCCAAAGGCCGAGGGGGUGCUGAAAUGGCCGCCACGACGAUCCAAAGAGCGUGGCGACGUCACCGGGCCGGAAAAGCCGCCGCGCGUUCCAGGCGGCGGGAACGGGCAUCAGGUGUGAUCGGCGCUUCCUGGCGCUCCUGGAAUCACAUGGCACGUGUGAAAAACACCCUGAGGGAAGCACGGCACAGACACCUGGAGAAUUUUUGCAGCAGGGCCAAGCAUCUGGCAGCCAACUGGAAUCGCAUCAGGACCUCCAGGAGGACUAUUAUCCAUAUCCCAUCAUUAGGAUAUUCCCAACGCAUCCGUGAGCACAUCCCUGAUCUUGCUGUGCAGCAGAACAUGCAGAUGGGAAGGCUGUGUGACAUCCUGGAUGCCAACGUGGACGUCAUCUACAUCUGCCCCCUUCCUCUGAGUGAGGAGUUACUGCAGUAUUACAAUAAACUCCUGGGUCUGCAGGCAGCUGUUAGAUCUGGGAACCCCGAGGACAUGGGUGACCUGCAGGACAGGUUCAGAAUUCUCACCCCUGAAGCUAUAAACAGCUUCCCCCAGCAUCACAUGUGCCUGGCCACUCAGCUCAAGUACAGUCCCAAGACAAUGCAGAGGCUCCGGGUUCUCCUCCGGAGCAGGGAUGCCUACGUGGUUGGGGGGGUUCCCCACGCCGAUGACCUGGCGGUGGCCGACAUGCUCGACGUGCCCGUGCUGGGCCCGGGGCCAGAGGUGGCUCAGCUCUACGGCACCAAGUCUGGCAGUAAAAGGAUUUUUGCCAGUGCUUGUGUGCCAACCCCUCCUGGAGAAUCUGACAUCCACAGCAGGGAGCAGCUGAUCCGUGCCCUCAGCCAGCUCAUCGUGGACAACGUGGAAGUGCAGCGCUGGGUGUUGAAGAUGGAUGAGGAACGUGGAGGAAAUGGCACUGCCUACUGUGAUGUGAUUUCCCACUUGGAAUGCUACCACUGGCUCCAGGAGGAAUGGCAGAGCCACGGCCCUGAGGGGUGGAGUAGGAGCCAGGCACGUGAGCUGGCUUUGGUGAAGAUCUCCCAGGAGCUGCCGGGCCUUUUAGCACAGCACGUACAGCCAGUCAAUGAGAAACGAUUCCCUACAUGGGAAAAAUUCCUCCAAACAUUCCUCACUCAAGGUGGAGUUAUCGAAGCCUUCCCGCCCUCCAGCACUGUCACCACCCUGACGGUGGAUCUGCUGAUAGAGCCAACAGGAGAGAUCAGGAUCGUGUCCUCUGGGGACCAGCUCCACGCUGAGGGGCCCUUCAGAUCCUCUGGGAGCUCCAUCCCACAGCGCUCCGUGGAUCCAGCGGUUCUCAACUCGCUCUGCUGGAGAAUCGGGGACACCUGUAGAUCUAAAGGGGUGCUUGGCUACUUCUCUGUUGACUUCGUGGCUUUCACCCAUCCCCAAACCAUGGAGCAGCAGGUGUGGGCAACAGACCUUGACCUUUGCUACAGUGACCAGCUGGCCCUGACCCAGCUCCUGUUGUACGUGACAGAUGGAAACGUGGAUUGUGGCUCCAGCCCCCUCGAAGCACCUCUUGGGUCACAAGCAGUGAAAAGCCAAUGGAUUCAGCGUGAGGGGACAAAACCUCCUGCCCCGGUGAGCCCCCGCUGUGCUGUGGCCAGCACUCAGCUCAGGCACUCCAACCUCUCUGAGACCUCCUACAACGUCCUCCUCCAGAGGUGUAAAGCUCGUGGGGUUGGAUUUGACCUCCAGGAAAAACAGGGAACUGUUUUUAUCCUGUAUGAAGACCAGAAGAGACACAGCCUGGGAAUGAUAACAAUCGGAGAGGAUCUCCAGGGGGUCCUCCUGACCUUUGCUCGCAAUCUCUUCAUCAUCCAUCAAGAAAUAUCAGCACCUAAUAUGCAAGGCGAGACCAAUUUUAAGAUGGCAAUUCAAGAUAUUGAAGCAAUUCUAGGAGUUACAGCAGAAAACAAACUGAAAUUGGAAGAAGAGCAACCUUGGGAAGCAGAUGCUCUGAAAGAAUAGUUAACAGAAAAUGUUUAAGUGCCUGAUUCCUUAUGCUUCUGGAAGUGCUUCCUCAUCUGAAACAAGUGACCUGAAAGUUCCCGUGGUGAGAGAGAUUUCUCGGCAUGUGCAAAGUGUGAAAUGUAUUUGGAGGGGGGGGGGAAAAAAAGUUUUUAAUUACUAUUAACACUUCUGAGCCUUGAGCUGAGGGAAGGAUUGAAACGGCUUGACAGUCUCUCACAUUCCACUCCCAUGCUGUUGGUGCCAAAAAUUUAGGGGUUUUAGGAAUACAGCAGAUAGAAAAUGAAAUUAAAAUCUUUUUUUUUAGAAAAAAAAGGUGAUGUCCACAGCUGGAAAUGAAGGUGUGUGUUCAGCUGACAGCACCUUGUGGAUUUUGGUUUUGCAAGAAUUGAUGUGCUGUCUGGAGAGAGGUUGUUCUUCUGGGGGAACAUUACCUGGAGCUGAUGAUACUGGAAACUGGGGCUCCUGUUUUAGGUAGUUGGGUUUAAAGCCCUGUAUAAAAGUGAAAAAAACUAAGACAUUCAGCCACGUUGCUACAUUUAGAAUGACAGCUCUUUUGCACAGAGCAAAAAUGCAGUUCUUCAGCACAUCCACCUCAUCGAAACGGACAGUUCAGGGGAAUUUACCACCUUCCAGCCAGGUUAAGGUAACAAAUCCCUGGAUUUUUAAGACUAACCUGGUCCUCAGCAUUUCACAGCGAUUACUGAACAUCAGUUUAAGGAACAUCAGUUUAACAUUGGGAUGCUGUAGAUCUGAGGCACCCCCUGUUACAGUGUAUGGAUCCUCUGUAUGUCAUUUUGGACUGCACAUUUUGUUACAGCACUAAAGAUUUAGGAACUGCAAUCAUUGACAGCCUUCAUUAAUGUAAUUUAAUAUAUUGUGACCAUGAGGUAACUCUUAAGCUGCACUACCUUAGUUCAGCUGCAUGACCCACAGUACCAGACUCCACCUUUUCUAAGCUCAGUCAGUGUUGCCACUAAUAGGUAAAUAUAUAUAUAAAUUAAGAUAUUAAAACUAACUAUAUGCUUCAUUAAUUAUAGGAAGGUGAACUUGAGUCAAAUUUGUUGCUGGCAAUGAUGAAUAAUUACUGGUUCUCCCCACAAGUAGUACAUUACAGUAAAUAAACAGGGCACAUUGUUGGGUAGUAAUUGAUUAAUUAGCUAGUUCAUACCAGAUAGCUCAGUGGUUUAAGAUUGCUGAGUUUGAGAUAUUGCUUGCAAUUAUUGAAAGGAAAAAGCUGUUUCUAUUUCUCAGUUUUCUGCCUUUUUUUCCUUCAAAUACAAUGUUUAAUGGUUCAAAACCUUGACUUUUAUUUAGAAAAAUGGAAUAUGGGAAUAUUUCUCUUCGAGAGGUGUCUGACACUUGAAGAAUUUUUCGGGUGGUAUUGUUAUGGAGUGUGAUUUUAAAAUAUUUCUCUUUGAAGGAGUCUGACACUUGAGAGAAGGAUUUUUUUAGGGUUGUGUGACUGUUAAUUUUCACUACAUAAAAUCAAUAUAACUGAAUACACUUUCUCCUCAGCACAGGUGAACCUGGUGCAUGCUGCAGGUACAAUACAGAGGUGGUUCUGGAAGCAUGUCAGUGCCAACAAACCCCCUUUAAAAAUGUAAUUGCCCUUUUUUUUGGUGAUGUUUUCACUGGUCCCUCUGUCUGGGUGGGGCUCAGGGUGACCCUCGCCCCUCAGGUGGGGCCGUUUCACCUCAGCGUGUCUGUCACAGAAUCACGGAAUCAGAGGGGUUGGAGAAGCGCUCCCAGCCCAUGGAUCCCCC